rnacentral:rRNA from 1 species
GACGGAGGGCGCAAGCGUUGUUCGGAAUUACUGGGCGUAAAGCGCGCGCAGGCGGGAAGGUAAGUCUGGAGUGAAAUUCCGGGGCUCAACUCCGGAGCUGCUUUGGAUACUGUCUUUCUAGGGACCGGUAGAGGCCGGUGGAAUUCCCGGUGUAGCGGUGGAAUGCGUAGAGAUCGGGAAGAACACCCGUGGCGAAGGCGGCCGGCUGGGCCGGAUCCGACGCUGAGGCGCGAAAGCUAGGGGAGCAGACGGG